GACGAACGCUGGCGGCGUGCUUAACACAUGCAAGUCGAACGGAAAGGCCCUGCUUUUGUGGGGUGCUCGAGUGGCGAACGGGUGAGUAACACGUGAGUAACCUGCCCUUGACUUUGGGAUAACUUCAGGAAACUGGGGCUAAUACCGGAUAGGAGCUCCUGCUGCAUGGUGGGGGUUGGAAAGUUUCGGCGGUUGGGGAUGGACUCGCGGCUUACCAGCUUGUUGGUGGGGUAGUGGCUUACCAAGGCUUUGACGGGUAGCCGGCCUGAGAGGGUGACCGGCAACAUUGGGACUGAGGUACGGCGCAGACUCCUACGGGAGGCAGCAGUGGGGAAUAUUGCACAGUGGGCGGAAGCCUGAUGCAGCAACGCCGCGUGCGGGAUGACGGCCUUCGGCUUGUAAACCGCUUUCGCCUGUGACGAAGAGUGAGUGACGGUAAUGGGUAAAGAAGCACCGGCUAACUACGUG
rnacentral:rRNA from 1 species